UCGACUGAGCGACUGAAUUGAACUGAACGUGGAAGUAUUGGGUGACUUGGUAAAAAUUUAACUGUUUCUGGUUUUCUUUCCGUUCUAGCUGUGCAAGAAGGACGGAAUGAAAAUAACAAUUCUCAGCUCCUGGGAGAGUUUGUAGAUAAAAUGCUCCCUUCCUUCCAGGAAAGUGCUAGUUUUUCUGUUGCUAAUGAUUAAACUUUGAGUUUAACGAGCUAUAAAAAAAAAAAAAAAAAAAAAAAAAGCUAUUGUGAAGGAACAAGGAAGGGUGAUGGAGCUUGAGGAUUCCCGCCUUGAGGCAGUGUUUGGGGUGGGGUGGGGCAGGAAGUGGAGAGCUGAGAGUCCUUCCAAAGGAGGCAGAGAAAAGUCUGUGGCCCUGGGACAGCCAGCGCUGCGUUUCCCCUUGCAGGCAAGUGGGAAAGAAAAGGCUCUGACUCCCUCCGCAGAAGUCAAGCCCAAGUCCCAGGUGUGGCAGGGAAGCGAUCAAGAAUGGAAGACCUGAGGAACCACUUAAGCAGAUCGUGGGAAGCCAGUAGGAAAAUGGCAUACCUACUUUUGGAAAGGUUCUGGGGAUUAUAAUGUGGACAUCUUUGGAGGGAAGCAUUAUUCUGCCCACCACACCCACUUAACCAUCAGGGUGAGGUCCCAGCCUGAAGAUGAACACUGGGCAUCACAGAGAAACUACCUUCUCCUUUUACUGUAUCUACCUGAAAUAGCCUUUAAAAUUAGGCAGAAGAAUUAAAAAUGGUUUCUAACUGGAGUCCCUGGAGAAAUGCUGGUGGUCUGGCAGGAGGGUCUUGGAGCAGGGCCAUGGAAGAAACAACAUCCCAGCAGUGUCUUGGGCACACUCAGGAUGGUGAAGAACACCUACCAAGGCUGGUCAGAAGCUAGAGGACAGUUCUGGAAGUCACACCUGUGUGGUCUUUGGGGAUGAGCACAGAACAGUGAGUCAGGAGGUCUCAAUUCUAGCCCAAGUUUUUACCAUCUUGAGCAAAUCAUGUCACAUGUAGGUCUCAGUCCUUUCCCCUGUAAACAAGGGGCUGUUCUAAAGGGCAACCAAGGCUCUGUUUAAACGGGCCUGGUACCCACAUUCAGCUAAGUGCCCUUGGUCCCUGUUGGACCUUCAGGACACUGGUUAUCAUGGCUCUUGGCUGGCAUGCACCGGGAAUGCAGGGCUGUGCAAACAUGAUAUGACAGUUUCCAGCUCCUGGCUCCCACGAGAGCCUGUUCUGUGGAAGGAACCCCUUGGACACUGCUUUCCUCCUGGGCUUCAGUGCUUAGAGCCCUUGCUCUUUGUAACCCACUCAGCUCCAUCAUGUGAGCCCUUGUCCCCAUAUGGAUCACUGAUGUUGGGUGUGUGGACUUUGACAAGGGUGGCAGACAGUAUGCAGUCAUACUGGCCCAAAGGGGCAGAAACAAGGCACCUCUCAGCCAGGCCCCCCUGCCACCCCACAGCUGCUUGACUAGGUUGCCCACUCUCACAGCCAUGGUCCUGAAUUCUGUUCCUCUUCAGGGAGUGGGAGUUCAGGCCUCCGUGCCUUCCCUUAGGGCCCUGGUACCAGCGUUGGGAGAUGGGGGCUGGGUCAGAGCUGGGCUCUGAGGCUAAGCCAGUGAUGCUUUCUGGG